GACGAACGCUGGCGGCGUGCCUAAUACAUGCAAGUAGAACGCUGAAGAGAGGAGCUUGCUCUUCUUGGAUGAGUUGCGAACGGGUGAGUAACGCGUAGGUAACCUGCCUGGUAGCGGGGGAUAACUAUUGGAAACGAUAGCUAAUACCGCAUAAAAUGGAUUAUCGCAUGAUAAUCCAUUGAAAGGUGCAAAUGCAUCACUACCAGAUGGACCUGCGUUGUAUUAGCUAGUUGGUGGGGUAACGGCUCACCAAGGCGACGGUACAUAGCCGACCUGGGAGGGUGAUCGGCCACACUGGGACUGGGACACGGCCCAGACUCCUACGGGAGGCAGCAGUAGGGGAUCUUCGGCAAUGGACGGAAGUCUGACCGAGCAACGCCGCGUGAGUGAAGAAGGUUUUCGGAUCGUAAAGCUCUGUUGUAAGAGAAGAACGAGUGUGAGAGUGGAAAGUUCACACUGUGACGGUAUCUUACCAGAAAGGGACGGCUAACUACGUG
rnacentral:rRNA from 1 species